GAUGAACGCUGGCGGCGUGCCUAAUACAUGCAAGUCGAGCGAACAGAUGAGGAGCUUGCUCCUCUGACGUUAGCGGCGGACGGGUGAGUAACACGUGGAUAACCUACCUAUAAGACUGGGAUAACUUCGGGAAACCGGAGCUAAUACCGGAUAAUAUAUUGAACCGCAUGGUUCAAUAGUGAAAGCCGGUUUUGCUGUCACUUAUAGAUGUAUCCGCGCCGCAUUAGCUAGUUGGUAAGGUAACGGCUUACCAAGGCAACGAUGCGUAGCCGACCUGAGAGGGGGAUCGGCCACACGGGAACGGAGACACGGUCCAGACUCCUACGGGAGGCAGCAAUAGGGAAUCUUCCGCAAUGGGCGAAAGCCAGACGGAGCAACGCCGCGUGAGUGAUGAAGGUCUUCGGAUCGUAAAACUCUGUUAUUAGGGAAGAACAAAUGUGUAAGUAACUAUGCACGUCUUGACGGUACCUAAUCAGAAAGCAACGGCUAACUACGUG
rnacentral:rRNA from 1 species